GACGAACGCUGGCGGCGUGCUUAACACAUGCAAGUCGAACGGGUCUGCCCUGUUUUUUGCGGGGUGGGUCAGUGGCGAACGGGUGAGUAACACGUGAGUAACCUGCCCCUCACUUCUGGAUAACCGCUUGAAAGGGUGGCUAAUACGGGGUGUUCUGGCUGUGCCGCAUGGUGUGGCUGGGAAAGAUUCACUUUUGUGGUGUUUUGGUGGGGGAUGGGCUCGCGGCCUAUCAGCUUGUUGGUGGGGUGAUGGCCUGCCAAGGCUUUGACGGGUAGCCGGCCUGGGGGGGUGGGCGGUCACAAUGGGGAUGGGGUACGGCCCAGACUGCGGGGGGAAGCAGCCGUGGGGGGUAGUGCACAAUGGGCGGAAGCCUGAUGCAGCGACGUCGCGGGAGGGAUGGAGGCCUUCGGGUUGUGAACCUCUUUCGCCGGUGAAGAAGGUCCUGCUCUUUGUGGUGGGGUUGACGGUAGCCGGGUUAUGAAGCGCCGGCUAACUACGUG
rnacentral:rRNA from 1 species